rnacentral:tRNA from 1 species
GCCCAGGUGGCGGAAUUGGUAGACGCGCUGGUUUCAGGUACCAGUGGUAGAGAUACCGUGGAGGUUCGAGUCCUCUCUUGGGCACCA